ACGGGAGGCAGCAGUGGGGAAUAUUGCACAAUGGGGGAAACCCUGAUGUAGCGACGCCGCGUGAGCGAAGAAGUAUUUCGGUAUGUAAAGCUCUAUCAGCAGGGAAGAAAAUGACGGUACCUGACUAAGAAGCACCGGCUAAAUACGUGCCAGCAGCCGCGGUAAUACGUAUGGUGCAAGCGUUAUCCAGAUUUACUGGGUGUAAAGGGAGCGUAGACGGCAUGGCAAGCCAGAUGUGAAAGGCAGGGGCUCAACUCUUGGACUGCAUUUGGAACUGUCAAGCUAGAGUAUCGGAGAGGUAAGUGGAAUUCCUAGUGUAGCGGUGAAAUGCGUAGAUAUUAGGAGGAACACCAGUGGCGAAGGCGGCUUGCUGGACGAUAACUGACGUUGAGGCUCGAAAGCGUGGGGAGCAAACAGGAUUAGAUACCCUGGUA
rnacentral:rRNA from 1 species